UACGGGGGGGGCAAGCGUUGUUCGGAAUUACUGGGCGUAAAGGCUCGUAGGCGGCCAACUAAGUCGGAUGUGGAAAUCCCCAGGCUCAACCUGGGAACCUGCAUCCGAUACUGGAUGGCUUGAAUCCGGGAGAGGGAUGCAGAAUUCCAGGUGUAGCGGUGAAAUGCGUAGAUAUCUGGAGGAAUACCGGUGGCGAAGGCGGCAUCCUGGACCGGCAU
rnacentral:rRNA from 1 species